CGGAGUAUAGCGCAGUCUGGCUAGCGCACACCCUUGGGGUGGGUGAGGUCGUGGGUUCAAAUCCCGCUACUCCGA
rnacentral:tRNA from 1 species